rnacentral:lncRNA from 10 species
AAUUUCCCUGUGUCCUUUCCUAUGGCUGUGGUUGGAGAGACGUAGAGAGAGGCUGCUGCGAAGUCACAAUCCAGCCACACGGCAUUGAUCCUGUCAUGGCUGGUGUGGUUGUGUCCACACGUGACCUGAACAUCCUUCCCACUCAGUACCAAAUACAGUCAAUUCUGUGGCUUGAUGGUGCGUGGACAUAACAUUCAGAUAUCGCCCAUGAUGAGGAAACAGAAGCUGGGAUAUGUGAGUAAACAUUUCCAAGGUCCUGCAGCUAAUCAAUGGUUGACAACUUCUUUCCUCUGCCUAUGUUGCCAUCCAUGUCAUGGUUUGUGUCAAGACUCUAGGAGAAGUCUACCAUCAGCACCACAGCUACUGUGCACAAAUCCAGAAUGCCAGACUGAAGUCAGAAGGAAAGAUCCUUUAUAUAUUGAAAGAAGAAAGUAGAACCAUUUCUGGGUCCCAGCUGUGGGAAGAGCUCCUGUGGCUGUGAAUUCUGACUUCUGGGUCUUGGCACAAGGUGUGGCCAGCAAGCUAAGCUGUCCUGAGGGUGUGCAGGGCCAGGGGCUGAAGACAGUGUUGGAGCAUCCACAGACUGGUUU